rnacentral:rRNA from 1 species
UCAAAGGUUGGUACGGCAGCAUCAAUAGCGGAUUUCCUCAACGAUAGGUUGCGUCAUCUGGAUCUAAGGGAAGAUGGGGAGGAGGACGUGGUGCUGGAGAAGGAUCUGGAGGAACUUGAAAAAGAUGUUGAAUUCAUGGUUUUAGCCAGAGGGUAUACAAACCGUAAGUUCAACCAUGGAGCUUUCUAUGGGAACAUGAGAUCUGCAUGGAACCUUGCCCAAGAAGUGGAGUUCAGAGUGAUUGAGGACAACUUGUUUUCGGUCCAAUUUACAUGUUUGGGUGACUGGGAGCGUGUGAUGAAUAAUGGGCCAUGGAUAUUUAGGAAUUGUCUGGUGUUGCUUGCACCAUAUGAUGGAUGGUCUGAGGUGAAUGAAGUGGAACUCUAUACACUUAUCAGGUGUGGGUAA